rnacentral:rRNA from 1 species
GGAUGAACGCUGGCGGCGUGCCUAAUACAUGCAAGUCGAACGCUUUGUGGUUCAACUGAUUUGAAGAGCUUGCUCAGAUAUGACGAUGGACAUUGCAAAGAGUGGCGAACGGGUGAGUAACACGUGGGAAACCUACCUCUUAGCAGGGGAUAACAUUUGGAAACAGAUGCUAAUACCGUAUAACAAUGACAACCGCAUGGUUGUUAUUUCAAAGAUGGUUCUGCUAUCACUAAGAGAUGGUCCCGCGGUGCAUUAGCUAGUUGGUAAGGUAAUGGCUUACCAAGGCGAUGAUGCAUAGCCGAGUUGAGAGACUGAUCGGCCACAAUGGGACUGAGACACGGCCCAUACUCCUACGGGAGGCAGCAGUAGGGAAUCUUCCACAAUGGGCGAAAGCCUGAUGGAGCAACGCCGCGUGUGUGAUGAAGGGUUUCGGCUCGUAAAACACUGUUGUAAGAGAAGAAUGACAUUGAGAGUAACUGUUCAAUGUGUGACGGUAUCUUACCAGAAAGGAACGGCUAAAUACGUGCCAGCAGCCGCGGUAAUACGUAUGUUCCAAGCGUUAUCCGGAUUUAUUGGGCGUAAAGCGAGCGCAGACGGUUAUUUAAGUCUGAAGUGAAAGCCCUCAGCUCAACUGAGGAAUUGCUUUGGAAACUGGAUGACUUGAGUGCAGUAGAGGAAAGUGGAACUCCAUGUGUAGCGGUGAAAUGCGUAGAUAUAUGGAAGAACACCAGUGGCGAGGGCGGCUUUCUGGACUGUAACUGACGUUGAGGCUCGAAAGUGUGGGUAGCAAACAGGAUUAGAUACCCUGGUAGUCCACACCGUAAACGAUGAGUGCUAGGUGUUUGAGGGUUUCCGCCCUUAAGUGCCGCAGCUAACGCAUUAAGCACUCCGCCUGGGGAGUACGACCGCAAGGUUGAAACUCAAAGGAAUUGACGGGGACCCGCACAAGCGGUGGAGCAUGUGGUUUAAUUCGAAGCAACGCGAAGAACCUUACCAGGUCUUGACAUCCCUUGACAACUCCAGAGAUGGAGCGUUCCCUUCGGGGACAAGGUGACAGGUGGUGCAUGGUUGUCGUCAGCUCGUGUCGUGAGAUGUUGGGUUAAGUCCCGCAACGAGCGCAACCCUUAUUACUAGUUGCCAGCAUUCAGUUGGGCACUCUAGUGAGACUGCCGGUGACAAACCGGAGGAAGGUGGGGAUGACGUCAAAUCAUCAUGCCCCUUAUGACCUGGGCUACACACGUGCUACAAUGGCGUAUACAACGAGUUGCCAACCCGCGAGGGUGAGCUAAUCUCUUAAAGUACGUCUCAGUUCGGAUUGUAGGCUGCAACUCGCCUACAUGAAGUCGGAAUCGCUAGUAAUCGCGGAUCAGCACGCCGCGGUGAAUACGUUCCCGGGUCUUGUACACACC